GAUGAACGCUGGCGGCGUGCUUAACACAUGCAAGUCGAACGGGAAUUACUUUAUUGAAACUUCGGUCGAUAUGAUUUAAUUCUAGUGGCGGACGGGUGGGUAACGCGUGGGUAACCUGCCUUAUACAGGGGGAUAACAGUCAGAAAUGACUGCUAAUACCGCAUAAGCACACAGAGCUGCAUGGCUCGGUGUGAAAAACUCCGGUGGUAUAAGAUGGACCCGCGUUGGAUUAGCUGGUUGGUGAGGUAACGGCCCACCAAGGCGACGAUCCAUAGCCGGCCUGAGAGGGUGAACGGCCACAUUGGGACUGAGACACGGCCCAGACUCCUACGGGAGGCAGCAGUGGGGAAUAUUGCACAAUGGGGGAAACCCUGAUGCAGCGACGCCGCGUGAAGGAAGAAGUAUCUCGGUAUGUAAACUUCUAUCAGCAGGGAAGAAAAUGACGGU
rnacentral:rRNA from 1 species